CCAGAACGCAGUCUUCUGAAGACAACGCAUGAUUGAGACCGAUGAAGAAAGACCUGUGACUAUAUGAGGCCUCCAAAUUUCCUCCUUUUCUUUUGUAUUGUUUCACCAAUUUGGGCAAAGAUGGAACGUUGGCUGUUGAUUCAGAAAUUUCUGAUUCCCCUCUGCUUCUUUCAAAGACAAACGAAAGGUGAUACAAUUCUAACAAGCUGUCGAGGCCUCAAGUCACAAAGUUUGUGGUUAAUAAAACCAGG